rnacentral:lncRNA from 1 species
CUGCAACAUGAUAAUGAAUGAUGACCGCUAGGUCAUCCAGAUGUUUAUGUUUGGGUUCAAAUAUUCAGGAAAAUAUAUGAUCUAUAUUUGCAGCAGAUUACACUGAUUUUAAAAGAUUUAGAUAUUAAAGGAAAUGGCUUUGUUAGACAAGAUUAACCUCUUUGGAAUAGCAUAUUUCUAAAUUAUGUCUAGUGAAUGAUACAUUUCUGUAUUCCACUUAUUCAAUUGACAUUCCUUGAGAGAUUACAGUAGAUUGGGCAUGAUUUUGACACUAGCUAUACAAAGACCAUACUUCAUUAUGUCUUUCACUAACAAUGCCUGGUAAAUUGUGUUAUUAGAUGUAUGUAUAUUUAGAGGAAAAAGUGCUAAUUUGGUUAUUUGAUCUCUGCUAUACUUGUAUCAUUUUGUAAAUUACAAAUAUUAGAAGAGUGAGAGAGCUAAAUACUAUUGCAUUGGAAUUUCAAUUGAGGAGUACAAUUGCAGUGUAUACUUUUAUGAAUUUCCUACUGGCUUUUUGGCAGAAUAUUUUAAAAGUUUAGUUCUUUCAUCUUUGUCACCCUAAUUCUAAAAAAAAAAAAUUAGGAAAAUGAUGAAAAAUAAACAAUUAUUUUAAAUGAAGCUUAGCUGGCAUAAUUUAUAAUAAUGAAAAUGCUUUAAGUAUGUACUUGUAGGGAAUAGGUUAAUUGUUCAGUUAUCAGAAUUAGAGUUUGAGAAUACCUAAUGACAUAGGAAAAUGCUUUUGCUAUAUAAUGAUAAGUAAAAACAAUGGCAGGAGGAAAAUAUCCCAGAUUGUUGAUUGACUAUAUUGUGGUGGUGAGAUUAUAGGUAAUUUUCCUUUCCUUUUUAAUUCUUUUGUCUUUUUUUUCUACACUAAAUAUAAAGUGUUACAACUAUAUUUUAAAAAAUCAAACACUAUUUAUAAGAUGGUACUGCUUUUCCAUUCCUGAAGAGAUUGUUUGCAAAUGCUAUCUUGGAAUGUCAUCAGGGGUCACAGUGUUGGAUAUUGUCAAUGACCAAUGCUUGAAUUUGUUUAAAGGCACAAUAAUUUCACAAAUGCAUUUUUAUGAUUUUGUCACUCAUUGAAAAUGACAUUUUCAUGCAUGUUAUCUAUCAAGUUGAAGAAAUGAUAAAAUCUUAUGUUACUAAAGCCAUAGAUGUAAAUACUUAAUGUUCUCUUUUGUUGUCAUGAAUGUGCAGCUCCUCUGUGGGUAGUGCACUUCCAAGAAGACGCUGCUGUGCAUAUAUUACCAUUGGAAUGAUAUGUAUUUUCAUUGGAGUUGGAUUAACUGUGAGUACUGUUUUGUUGUUAGAAUUCUCUUAAGUUUAUCAACGUUAACCAAUGGUGAGGCUUGGGACAACCUUCAGUGACCUCUGAGAUUGCUGCCUCCCUAAACUUCUGAGGAACUAUGGGCAAUCAGAAACCCCAUCCAUGGACUUGGUGUUUUGUUUUGUUUUGGUUUUUCCAUGGACCAGAUUUUAAUGAUGUUCUCCCAUCCAGGUAAAAAGAUGUCUUUGGCCCCCUCUGAAAGUCCUUAACAUUGGGAGAUUUACCAUCCAUUAACAAAAGCCCAUUUGUUUUUAUUCAGUGGCAGAACCAACUUUGCAUGGCCAUGGAGUAUCUUAUAUUCAAAGCAACAAUCACUCUGCUAUGGAGGUCUGAAAAAUCAUUUUUCUCUUAAUCCGUAUCAAGCAGAGAUUUAUUUCCAAUAUGAGGAUGGCUUCUUUUUAGAGGACACUAAAAUGAAACAGUUGGCAUGGGGAUUAUGCCAGGAGAAGAGGAAGGAACUGAUCUGUUUUGCUGUCAUUUGCUUUCCGUGUUCCUAUGUUCCUCAGUUAGUAUACUAUCCCAUAUUAUUGGUAGUGUCCUACUGUGUCACAUGAUAGUAAAGAGUCACAUAGAUUGAAAACCUUAUAGAGAUAACAUAUUUUGGUGUGUUUGUUUACUUAAUAAAAUUUAUAGUUAAUAUAAGUUGCAGUAUGGUUUGUCAGUUAUAGUCAACAGAUACACCUCGAGUUUUAUAGAGAAUUUAUGGCUUCAGUUUGGGGAUGUAUUUCAUAUGAAUCACACAUAAGCUGACCCAGGGUAAGCAGAUAUUUUCUUAAUGUUUCUAAUCUUUUGUUUUUAUAUUGCUUUUUGUUUUAGGUUGGCACUCAAGACUUUGCAAGACGAUUUCAUGCAACCUAUGUUUCUUGGGCAAUUGCUUAUCUUCUAGGUCUGAUUUGCCUUAUCCGAGCUUGUUAUUGGGGAGCCAUAAGAGUCAGUUAUCCAGAACACAGUUUUGCAUAAGCUUGCUUAGGAUUCAAUGAUGUGGGUGAGAGGGUCUAGCAGUUCUUGAUAAGCUAUUCUGGACAUCUUUAAAUCGUUUAUCUUAACAGAUUCCGUUCUAGUUUAUGUGUAAUAGUUUCAAGACUUUGGGAGUCUUUUAUGAGUAAAUAAAUGCUCAUUGCACUGCAUUUUAUGCAAAUAGUUUAUUUUGCUGCUAGGUUUUCAAAUUCAGAAUAACAAAACUGUGUUUUAUGUUCUUUUAAAUCAAUUAAAGAUAUUUUUGGAUGUCACCAAAUAUAACAUAAUAUCACUCUAUCUUAUGUUCAAAUCUGUUAUUCCAUUAAUUGCUGAUCUGUAUUUCCAAGAAGUGUUUAUAAAUGUUUUUACAAUUGUUUCACAUUUAUACUUACAUUUUCAUUAAACAGUAUCAAAAUCGCUUGCUUUAAAAUCAAAGCAAUAUGCAUUUUUGCUUGAACUGCUUACAGUAAUUUUAACCUAAGAUUAUAGUGACCUUAUUCAGGAAAAACAUUUGAGUGUACUUUCAAAAACUUGACAUUGUUGUCAGAGAAACAUUUCUAGAUAACCGUAUGUUGUUUUUUGUUGUUUGUAGAAAGAUAUAAUAUUUUGGUAGUAAUUUAAAAUACAAGAAUGAAAAUAUUUAUUUGUUCACAGUUGGAAAUGUUGGAUAAAUGUCUUUUCUCAAAGAUCACGGGAUUUUUUCCCUUUUUUUCCUUUUUAUUUACCAAUUAUAAAAAUCUGGUCUGCAUUUAUGGAAUUUAAUGUUAACACUAUAUGUAUUCCUUUAUAGAGACUGGAGGAAGUAUUUCACAUGACAUUUUAUAAUACUUAAUCAUUUAAUCAAAAAUAUUUACAUUAGUUUGUGCUCCUUUCCAUUAGAUCAUGGUGAAUUUUUCUGGUUGGGAUAAUUAUGUACCACUUAUAUAUGAAAGAAGCCUAUGACAUUUUGCACUAGCUAAAAUGUUAAGAUUAGAGGUACUCUUACCAUUUUUCUCAAAUAUAACUGGAUAAUUACCCAAUUAAUUUAAGAAAAUAGAUCAGAGAUAAAGAGCAACAUAGUUUUCUAAAAAUUCACUAGGACUUAUGGAAUCAGCUCUUGCACUGCCCAUCUUUGCAGUUUUGAAAAAGAAAUUACUUAAUUGAGAAUAUUCAAAGUCUUUCAUGUGAUAGAAUUAGCUAAUGAGAUGAUCUGAGUAAAUUAAUUGGUGAUUCCAGGGAUAAGACUAAUAUUUUAAAUUAUUUAUGUUCCUAAUUAGUAUAAAAAUGUACUCACCAGAGAGUUUGGAGCAAAAUACAUGUAAACUUCAAAGAGUAAAUGAUAAAUGUAUAAAUGCAGUAGCUCAGGAUUAUAUGUACCUUUGAAACUACACUAAUAAAAAUUAUUG